CAUAAAGGCCAGAUGUUAAGGAAAGAGAGAGCAGCGCCCACCGCACGCCCACCACCCCACCCCCACCCCCAGGGGAAGAAAAAGCAAAGGAGACAGCUUUUCCGGCAAACACAACUUUUGAAGUACAAACAGUUUUUCUCAAGAAUCUGCUCUACGCAAACAAUAACAACUUUUUACACAGCAUUUUCACAGAAAAGGAGACAAGUCCUUCCCCAGGGUCGCGUGAGGGGACCGUUCCUCCCUCACCCCAUCUUGGGGGGAAAGGGGGCGCCAUUCACAAGUGCGGAGGGAGCCCCAGCUUCCCUUCACACCUGGGAACUCCCCCCGGAGCUCUGACCGCACCUGGCUGGGGAGGAGGCCACCCCGUCUGAUUCGAGGGGACCCUCCCGGCUGGAGGGUGAGAGCCAGGCCCGUCCCUGCCCUCUGCCUGGAAAACAGAACCUCUGACCCCAACCCUAAUCCCCUGGCCCUGCCCCCUUCGGAUCCAUCAGGUCCCUGACAGCUCCCUAACCGCGGCCACUGAGGGGGCAGCUGAAAGGACCUCAGCCCAGGUCCCACUCGAACCCCAACUCUGCCCCCUGGAAAUCCAGGGGCCCUGGCGCUCAGGCCAGAGCAGCAUUUUCCGUCCGCACCCUGUAAGAGGCCUGAAACUGGGCUCGGCCGAAGAAUGGACCGGGGCCUGUCCUCUACCUCUGCCCCUCCCAGCCGAAAAUCGGUGAAGACCUCGAAAGGCAACUCGUUUGGUCUGAUUUUAUUGAUUUCUUCCACCUUCCAUUACUUUCCCUGGGACGUCUCUAGCCCUUUCCCUAGGCGAGGGCUGUGUUUUGGGUCCGGGACCGGUUCCUCAGCCCUGCCCCUCUCCGUAGGGAGAGGGAACAGGGGCUGGGGGAUGAUUUCUCUAGGUGGAGGGAGGGUCUCUCCCACCCAUCAGAUCUUGUGAACCAAAAGCAAACAGAAAACUCAAAGGUAAACUCCAAAACCCGACAGAAGGCAAAAGCCGGCAUCUGGGGCUGAAGGUCUCACCAAUUCGGGGUCACCUGAACUUGGGGGUGCUAGGAAUGGGACAGGAAGUGGGGAAUCUUGCCUUUGCCCAAACUGCCCCUCCCCCCUCAAGGCUCCAGUGGUACUAGGAAGGCCCGAGGGGGAGAGAAGGGUUAAAGGCCCGGGCCAUGGGGGUGGGGGAUGCCCCCAGGGAGCUGCCAAUCACCUUCCCACCCCCACCACAGCCCCCACACCCCCAGGCUCGCCCACAGACACAGAAACAACCGGUUUGUCCAUCACCGAGGUCCCUCUCUUUUUUUGGUCUUUGAGCGGUGGUCUCCUUUGCUACCCCUGGGGUGAAGGCCCUGCCCCCAGAGACUCUCUCUCUCUCUCUCUCUGCCUGGAAUCUGCGUCGCCGUGUAACUCUGACUUUCAAAUAAAAUAAAUAAUUCUUUAAAAAAAGAAGCUACA
rnacentral:lncRNA from 1 species